GACGAACGCUGGCGGCGUGCCUAAUACAUGCAGGUAGAACGCACAGUUUAUACCGUAGCUUGCUACACCAUAGACUGUGAGUUGCGAACGGGUGAGUAACGCGUAGGUAACCUGCCUGGUAGCGGGGGAUAACUAUUGGAAACGAUAGCUAAUACCGCAUAAUAUUAAUUAUUGCAUGAUAAUUAAUUGAAAGGUGCAAUUGCACCACUACCAGAUGGACCUGCGUUGUAUUAGCUAGUAGGUGAGGUAACGGCUCACCUAGGCGACGAUACAUAGCCGACCUGAGAGGGUGAUCGGCCACACUGGGACUGAGACACGGCCCAGACUCCUACGGGAGGCAGCAGUAGGGAAUCUUCGGCAAUGGACGAAAGUCUGACCGAGCAACGCCGCGGGAGUGAAGAAGGUUUUCGGAUCGUAAAGCUCUGUUGUAAGAGAAGAACGGGUGUGAGAGUGGAAAGUUCACACUGUGACGGUAUCUUACCAGAAAGGGACGGCUAACUACGUG
rnacentral:rRNA from 1 species